GAUGAACGCUGGCGGCGUGCUUAACACAUGCCAGUCGAACGAUGAAGCCCAGCUUGCUGGGUGGAUUAGUGGCGAACGGGUGAGUAACACGUGAGUAACCUGCCCUUGACUCUGGGAUAAGCCCGGGAAACUGGGUCUAAUACCGGAUAGGAGCGCCUGUCGCAUGACGGGUGUUGGAAAGAUUUUUCGGUCAUGGAUGGACUCGCGGCCUAUCAACUUGUUGGUGAGGUAAUGGCUCACCAAGGCGACGACGGGUAGCCGGCCUGAGAGGGUGACCGGCCACACUGGGACUGAGACACGGCCCAGACUCCUACGGGAGGCAGCAGUGGGGAAUAUUGCACAAUGGGCGGAAGCCUGAUGCAGCGACGCCGCGUGAGGGAUGACGGCCUUCGGGUUGUAAACCUCUUUCAGUAGGGAAGAAGCGAAAGUGACGGUACCUGCAGAAGAAGCACCGGCUAACUACGUG
rnacentral:rRNA from 1 species